AGUGAACGCUGGCGGUAGGCCUAACACAUGCAAGUCGAACGGCAGCACAGAGGAGCUUGCUCCUUGGGUGGCGAGUGGCGGACGGGUGAGGAAUACAUCGGAAUCUACUCUGUCGUGGGGGAUAACGUAGGGAAACUUACGCUAAUACCGCAUACGACCUACGGGUGAAUGCAGGGGACCUUCGGGCCUUGCGCGAUUGAAUGAGCCGAUGUCGGAUUAGCUAGUUGGCGGGGUAAAGGCCCACCAAGGUGACGAUCCGUAGCUGGUCUGAGAGGAUGAUCAGCCACACUGGAACUGAGACACGGACCAGACUCCUACGGGAGGCAGCAGUGGGGAAUAUUGGACAAUGGGCGCAAGCCUGAUCCAGCCAUACCGCGUGGGUGAAGAAGGCCUUCGGGUUGUAAAGCCCUUUUGUUGGGAAAGAAAUCCAGCUGGCUAAUACCCGGUUGGGAUGACGGUACCCAAAGAAUAAGCACCGGCUAACUUCGUGCCAGCCGCCGCCGUAA
rnacentral:rRNA from 1 species